rnacentral:hammerhead_ribozyme from 1 species
AUCCAGCUGAUGUGUCUCAAACAGGAUGAAAUGCGCAUCCUGGAU